AACGAACGCUGGCGGCGCGCCUAAUACAUGCAAGUCGAGCGAGAAGACGUAGCAAUACGUUUGUAAAGCGGCGAACGGGUGAGGAAUACAUGGGUAACCUACCCUCGAGUGGGGAAUAACUAGCCGAAAGGUUAGCUAAUACCGCAUACGACUCUCGGUCUGCGGAUCGAGAGGGAAAGCGAUACCGUUGGUAUCGCGCUCCUGGAUGGGCUCAUGUACUAUCAGCUUGUUGGUGAGGUAACGGCUCACCAAGGCUUCGACGGGUAGCUGGUCUGAGAGGACGAUCAGCCACACUGGCACUGCGACACGGGCCAGACUCCUACGGGAGGCAGCAGUAAGGAAUAUUGCGCAAUGGGCGACAGCCUGACGCAGCGACGCCGCGUGGGGGAUGAAGGUCUUCGGAUUGUAAACCCCUUUCGGCAGGGAAGAUGGAGCGAGUAACCGCUCGGACGGUACCUGCAGAAGCAGCCACGGCUAACUUCGUGCCAGCAGCCGCCGUAACAC
rnacentral:rRNA from 1 species